ensembl:lncRNA
CAAUAACAGAGUCAUUUUCAUUAGGAACAGGAGCAUGAGGCAUGAGGCAAAAAUUGUAUAUGCUGAAUGCACUGUAAGUCGCUUUGGAUAAAAGCGUCUGCUAAAUGCAUAAAUGUAAAUGUAAAUGAGGCAUUGCACUGAGAUGAUCCCCAUCUGGGUAAAUAUCUUGUGCAGAGACAGUAUGACCAAGGAAGCACAAACUGCUUUUAUUAAAGUGAAAUUUCAAAUCAUUCAACUGUAAACCUGCAUCGUGUAUGUGCAGAAUAACCACUUUCCUUUGAACAUGCGGUCAUGUUCACUUUGUGACAGCAUUUCUAACAGAUAAUGGCAACUGUCUGAGUUUCAGACAUACAGGUUUCACACCUGGAGAAAUUUUCACCUUAUGCACAAAGCCUUUUGCACAUCCUAGCUUAGUAACAGGCACAGAAGCAGAAAGGCGCAUUACAGGGACUGAUGACUGAGCAGGUCCUGGAAGUAUGAAAGAACCUUCAGUUUUGAGAUGCAGUCUAUUAUUCAAAUCCAUUCCAAGAAGAGCAGUGCCCCAUUUAACUAUAAAGAUUGACGUAUUACAGUUAAUAUCAUCAUUGGUAACAAUAACAGGUAGACAGCCAAGUACUGGUAUUGGAUCACGUGAAUAAGUCACUAAUUAAACAGAAGGAGGCAGCAAGGGGUCUUUUUUAAAGUGUUUUUCAUACACAGAUUUUGGCAGAAUGGAAACAGAGGAUCCAGAAUCCACAAUCAACUCCACAGGUACAGAGGCUGAUGCAGUCAUGAUAGUAGAAAUACAUUUUAUCUUAUUAGACACUGAAUCGUGCAUGUAAAUAAUCUGAAGCUCAGGCAGUUCAAUUUAAUGUACAAUUUCAAGGAAGUAGCAGAAGACUUUGAAGCCACAGACAGAGGAUUCACAGGUGAUUUUCUUUUGUAACGAUCAACAUCAGUCGUUGUUUGUAUUGCUUGAACAGGUACUGAAAGGCAGCAAGAUUUGAAAAUAAUUUUAGGUUGUUCACCAGCAGCCUCCAGUUGAGUAGCAAUAGUAUUAGCCUUGCUAAUACUAUCAAAUCAGUCAAAUUAAAGAAAAAAAAAAGAGUCAAAUCAGUCUCCAACAGCAGACGUUCUCUAACACAAUGUCUGUUUACAUUCUCCAUUAAUUGAUCACGCAACAUUUCAUCAUUGUUAGAUGCAAACUCACACGUGGCUGCUAGUUCCGAAGAGAAGCGACAUAUUGCAGGAUUGUUUCCCCGGUGCUUGAAUUCAUUUUCUAAAUGCAUGAUGCUCAGCAACAACAUUAUGUUGAGGAAUAAAGUGCAGUUUUUAAGUCUCAAUAGCAUCCUUGAUUUGGUAACAUAUAGAGCAGACUCUGACCC